CAGCCGCCGCGGGAAAACGUAGGGUGCAAGCGUUAAUCGGAAUUACUGGGCGUAAAGCGUGCGCAGGCGGUCCGCUAAGACAGAUGUGAAAUCCCCGGGCUUAACCUGGGAACUGCAUUUGUGACUGGCGGGCUAGAGUAUGGCAGAGGGGGGUAGAAUUCCACGUGUAGCAGUGAAAUGCGUAGAGAUGUGGAGGAAUACCGAUGGCGAAGGCAGCCCCCUGGGCCAAUACUGACGCUCAUGCACGAAAGCGUGGGGAGCAAACAGGAUUAGAUACCCGAGUAGUCCCUGUCUCUUAUAC
rnacentral:rRNA from 1 species